rnacentral:tRNA from 1 species
GCCUGGUUGGCUCAGUGGUUGAGCAUCUGCCUUCACCUCAGGGCAUGAUCCCAGAGGCCUGGGAUUGAGUCCCACAUCGGGCU